UACGUAGGGUGCAAGCGUUGUCCGGAUUUAUUGGGUUUAAAGGGUGCGUAGGCGGCCCGUUAAGUCAGCGGUAAAAUUCACCGGCUCAACCGGUGGCCUGCCGUUGAUACUGGCAGCCUUGAGUGCGGGCGAGGCCUGCGGAACGGAUGGUGUAGCGGUGAAAUGCUCAGAUAUCAUCCAGAACACCGAUUGCGAAGGCAGGAGGCUGUACUUUAUCUGACGCUGAGGCACGAAAGCGUGGGGAUCAAACAGG
rnacentral:rRNA from 1 species